CCUACGGGAGGCAGCAGUGAGGAAUAUUGGUCAAUGGCCGAGAGGCUGAACCAGCCAAGUCGCGUGAGGGAAGACGGCCCUACGGGUUGUAAACCUCUUUUGUCGGGGAGCAAAGCGAGUCACGUGUGACUCAUUGAGAGUACCCGAAGAAAAAGCAUCGGCUAACUCCGUUCCAGCAGCCGCGGUAAUACGGAGGAUGCGAGCGUUAUCCGGAUUUAUUGGGUUUAAAGGGUGCGCAGGCGGAGGUGCAAGUCAGCGGUCAAAUUGCGGGGCUCAACCCCGUACUGCCGUUGAAACUGCAGCCCUUGAGUGCGCGAGAAGUAGGCGGAAUGCGUGGUGUAGCGGUGAAAUGCAUAGAUAUCACGCAGAACUCCGAUUGCGAAGGCAGCAUACCGGCGCGCAACUGACGCUCAUGCACGAAAGCGUGGGUAUCGAACAGGAUUAGAUACCCGUGUAGUC
rnacentral:rRNA from 1 species